rnacentral:rRNA from 1 species
GAUGAACGCUGGCGGCGUGCUUAACACAUGCAAGUCGAACGAUGAAGCCCAGCUUGCUGGGUGGAUUAGUGGCGAACGGGUGAGUAACACGUGAGUAACCUGCCCUUAACUCUGGGAUAAGCCUGGGAAACUGGGUCUAAUACCGGAUAGGAGCGUCCACCGCAUGGUGGGUGUUGGAAAGAUUUAUCGGUUUUGGAUGGACUCGCGGCCUAUCAGCUUGUUGGUGAGGUAAUGGCUCACCAAGGCGACGACGGGUAGCCGGCCUGAGAGGGUGACCGGCCACACUGGCACUGAGACACGGCCCAGACUCCUACGGGAGGCAGCAGUGGGGAAUAUUGCACAAUGGGCGCAAGCCUGAUGCAGCGACGCCGCGUGAGGGAUGACGGCCUUCGGGUUGUAAACCUCUUUCAGUAGGGAAGAAGCGAAAGUGACGGUACCUGCAGAAGAAGCACCGGCUAACUACGCG